rnacentral:rRNA from 1 species
GGAAGAUUCAUCGGAAGAGGAUGGGCAUGCGGCGCAUUAGCUAGACGGCGGGGUAACGGCCCACCGUGGCGACGAUGCGUAGGGGUUCUGAGAGGAAGGUCCCCCACACUGGUACUGAGACACGGACCAGACUCCUACGGGAGGCAGCAGUGAGGAAUAUUGGUCAAUGGGAGAGAUCCUGAACCAGCCAAGCCGCGUGAGGGAAGACGGCCCUAUGGGUUGUAAACCUCUUUUGUCGGAGAACAAAACCCGGGACGUGUCCCGGACUGCGUGUAUCCGAAGAAAAAGCAUCGGCUAACUCCGUGCCAGCAGCCGCGGUAAUACGGAGGAUGCGAGCGUUAUCCGGAUUUAUUGGGUUUAAAGGGUGCGUAGGCGGUCCGUUAAGUCAGCGGUAAAAUUGCGGGGCUCAACCCCGUCGAGCCGUUGAAACUGGCAGACUUGAGUUGGCGAGAAGUACGCGGAAUGCGCGGUGUAGCGGUGAAAUGCAUAGAUAUCGCGCAGAACUCCGAUUGCGAAGGCAGCGUACCGGCGCCAGACUGACGCUGAGGCACGAAAGCGUGGGGAUCGAACAGGAUUAGAUACCCUGGUAGUCCACGCAGUAAACGAUGAAUGCUGGUUGUCCGGGUCGAAUGAGAUCUGGGCGGC